GGGGUCCGGCUCGGUCUCGGGAAGCGCCCCGGGUGGACCCCGCCCGCUCGGCCCGCCCUCCCGGCCGCCGCUAACACCCGGAAGAGCGGAUUCGCGUCGUGCUGGAAGCCGGGGCGGCUCAGGCCGCGGACUGGGCAUGCUCGGCAUGGGAGGCUAGCGGUGGCAAGUCGGAAGCGUUCGCACCAGCGGGGCAGCGGCCCGUGCAGCGGCAGCGGGCCGGACGGGAGCAGAAGGGCCGGCCACGGAAGGCUGCUCUCCCCUUGCGCCCGGCGAGCCGGCCAGAGAGCGCGAUCCGGGUGCGGAGCCCCGACGCUGCCCUGCCCUGGAUUUCAUUCCGUGGCGGGGGGCUCGGCGAGUGGAAUUCCGGCGGCUGCCGCGACUCCGAGGGUGAGGGCAGCAUGAACGAUCCCUGAAUGUUCCUUUGGGUAUAUUUAGCCGCUCGUUUUUGAUUAGGAGAGAGAAGACGGCCAUCCACUGGAAAGGCAAAGCUUCAGUGACUGAAGGAGUUGUGGAUUUUCUGAAUUUCAAGGACAGCAAAGUAGGAGCCUAGCAGAGGGUGUAUAAAAGACGACACGUAAGUCAAACUCAGUGUUUUAUCCAUUCUCAAACGUCUCACGGAUCUGAAGUUCCUCAGAAUCGCUGCUGCUUUGUUCUGAGAUUGUGUGUGAGGCUCUGAUGGAAUCCUCAAAGCCUCUGACCCGGCCUUUGAGGUGCCCCAGGUCAAAAUCAGCCAAGGAAAGGCUCUAUGGUUUGGAGAAGGAGGGAAGAAGGCCUGAAGCGGCCAGCUUCCUCAUUGGAGGAGGAAGGCAACGUGGGCCAGGGUGGUAGAAAUGCGUAAAACAAAGGGCACAGGAAAUAGUGCCUGCCUGAGAGUCCCUGGAAAUGACAGAAGAGGGUGGUGCCGGAUCUGAAGUUACCUAAACCAGUAGGAAGGGUUUCCAGAGAGGCCUGGGGGAGUCAUUUGGGGCCAGGCCUGUUCCUUUCAUCUAGAAUUG
rnacentral:lncRNA from 1 species